rnacentral:rRNA from 1 species
UACGGGGGGAGCAAGCGUUGUUCGGAUUUACUGGGCGUAAAGGGCGCGUAGGCGGCGCAACAAGUCACUUGUGAAAUCUCCGGGCUUAACCCGGAGCGGCCAAGUGAUACUGUCGUGCUAGAGUGCGGAAGGGGCUACUGGAAUUCUCGGUGUAGCGGUGAAAUGCGUAGAUAUCGAGAGGAACACCUGCGGCGAAGGCGGGUAGCUGGGCCGACACUGACGCUGAUGCGCGAAAGCGUGGGUAGCAAACAGG